UUUUUACGACGGGAAGUCGGAGGCGUCUCCACUGCUCGGUAGUUUCAAGGUACGCAACGGCAGUCGGCCGCAGAGUCUGGUGACCACCCGCAACCACCUGCUGGUCACCUUCUCCGCCCGCAACCGGACGCAGACGGAGGUGUUCAUGGCCGUCACGGCCGGGCUCGGGAAAACGCA